GUUUUUCCCAUGCAUGUUCCUGGGCUGUGUUACCGGCGUCCGUGGUCUGGGGGUUUCUCUGUGGGCCGGGGUCUCUGUGAUGAAGAUUUUUUUGUCUUCCUCGAUGUCCGCAGGAUGAACCCGGCUUGGAGCAUGCGCCUUUAAUGAUGGAGUUGCCUCUCCGGAUGUGUGCUGAGCUCUGGCUUCAGGGGACUGUCAGGCCUUGGUGGCGGUGCAUUCAUGUUCUUCUCACUGGGAAACUGGAAAUAGUUAUUAAUGACAUUGCAGAAAUGUUUUCUGAAACCUGUCCCCUUCUUUCUGCCUUUUGCUGAUAGAUCUUCUCCUUCUGCCUUUGAAUUUACAGCCUCCUUGCAGCUCCCAACUGGCAAAACCUGGGGUGACUCAGUGGGGACAGAGGUGACAUUUUUAUCUGAAAACUUGGGGUAAUCUCUAGGGGAUACAGCAGUUGUUUUGGUAGGAGAGUGUGUUUAACCCCAUUGGCCCAAGGCAAUCCAAAGCAAGCCCUGCUUGGCCUCUAAAUCCCAGGGUAAGUUCUCCAAAGCAGCUCCUUGAGGACUAAAGAUACAUUAAAAUGGAACUAAGAGCGCUAAGAAGGUUCCUGUGAAUCCCAGUAUUGCUGUCCUACAAUUUUGAACAGGUUUUGAAGCUGUUAAUGGCAAUAGUGGCUUUCUUCCUUUGGAUGAGUCCCUCGAUAGGAUUUGGGAUUUCUUUGGGUUUUGAGUCCCUCCCAGUGGCUCUGACACCGAUCAGGAGCUGGCAGGACAAACAGACUGAGAACUCCUGGCAGGCACAGGGGUUUUCCCCCAGAGUUGGCUCCAAGUGCUUUCAAAACCACGUUGGUACCCUCUGCUUUAUCCUUGCAGAUAGUAGAAGACAAUUACAUUUGAAAUCUAAGGUGAAUGUUCAUAUUCAAAAACUUAAUGUUAUGGUUACAUUGUAAUCUUGUUUCUUAUGCUGUGAAAACCUCCAAUGAGUCUUUGUAUUUGAAAGGUUUACAUGUAAUAAAAUAGAGCUUUCAUA